rnacentral:pre_miRNA from 7 species
AUCUAUAUUUUCAAUAUGCUUAUUUGCAAACAUUUAUUCUUUAUGUGACAGGCUUGCAUAUGAAAGAACCUAGUGGGGAAACCCCCACUCAAUUCUUGAUUCGGCGCGCACCCAAGAAUCACGAACAGGCGA